GGGGAUGCUACCAUGCAGUCGAACGGUAACAGGAAGAAGCUUGCUUCUUUGCUGACGAGUGGCGGACGGGUGAGUAAUGUCUGGGAAACUGCCUGAUGGAGGGGGAUAACUACUGGAAACGGUAGCUAAUACCGCAUAACGUCGCAAGACCAAAGAGGGGGACCUUCGGGCCUCUUGCCAUCGGAUGUGCCCAGAUGGGAUUAGCUAGUAGGUGGGGUAACGGCUCACCUAGGCGACGAUCCCUAGCUGGUCUGAGAGGAUGACCAGCCACACUGGAACUGAGACACGGUCCAGACUCCUACGGGAGGCAGCAGUGGGGAAUAUUGCACAAUGGGCGCAAGCCUGAUGCAGCCAUGCCGCGUGUAUGAAGAAGGCCUUCGGGUUGUAAAGUACUUUCAGCGGGGAGGAAGGGAGUAAAGUUAAUACCUUUGCUCAUUGACGUUACCCGCAGAAGAAGCACCGGCUAACUCCGUGCCAGCAGCCGCGGUAAUACGGAGGGUGCAAGCGUUAAUCGGAAUUACUGGGCGUAAAGCGCACGCAGGCGGUUUGUUAAGUCAGAUGUGAAAUCCCCGGGCUCAACCUGGGAACUGCAUCUGAUAC
rnacentral:rRNA from 1 species